rnacentral:rRNA from 1 species
AUUGAACGCUGGCGGCAUGCUAUACACAUGCAAGUCGAACGGUAACAGGUUAAGCUGACGAGUGGCGAACGGGUGAGUAAUGCAUCGGAACGUGCCCGGUCGUGGGGGAUAACACUUCGAAAGAAGUGCUAAUACCGCAUACGCUCUGAGGAUGAAAGCGGGGGACCGUAAGGCCUCGCGCGAUCGGAGCGGCGGAGGUCAGAUUAGGUAGUUGGUGGGGUAAAGGCUCACCAAGCCGACGAUCUGUAGCUGGUCUGAGAGGACGACCAGCCACACUGGGACUGAGACACGGCCCAGACUCCUACGGGAGGCAGCAGUGGGGAAUUUUGGACAAUGGGCGCAAGCCUGAUCCAGCAAUGCCGCGUGCAGGAAGAAGGCCUUCGGGUUGUAAACUGCUUUUGUACGGAGCGAAAAGGCUCUCUCUAAUACAGGGGGCUCAUGACGGUACCGUAAGAAUAAGCACCGGCUAACUACGUGCCAGCAGCCGCUGUAA